rnacentral:rRNA from 1 species
CUCCAGACUCCUACGGGAGGCAGCCGUGGGGAAUAUUGGGCAAUGGGCGCACGCCUGACCCAGCACCUCCUCGUGAAGGCAGCAGGCUUUCGGGUUGUCCACUUCUUUUGCCCUGGAAGAGUCGCCGCCGGUACCUUUCUCCUAAGCCACUUCUCCCUACGUGCCCUCCUCCGCGGUCCUCCUUAGGUGGCCCUCGUUGUCCGGAUUUCCUGGGUGUAAAGGGCGUGUAGCCGGGUUGACAAGUCAGAUGUGAAAUCCUGCGGCGGAACCGCAGAACUGCAUUUGAAACUGUUGAUCUUGAGUACUGGAGAGGCAGACGGAAUUCCUAGUGUAGCGGUGAAAUGCGUAGAGAUGAGGAGGAACACCAGUGGCGAAGGCGGUCGGCUGGACAGCAACUGACGGUGAGGCGCGAAAGCGUGGGUAGCGAACGGGAUUAGAUACCCCGGUAU